rnacentral:lncRNA from 10 species
CAGGGUUUCACCUUGUUGGCCAGGCUGGUCUCAAACUCCUGACCUCAGGUGAUCCACCCGCUCAGCCCUCCAAAGUGCUGGGAUUACAGGCGAAAGCCACCACGCCCGGCCUAAACCUCUUUUUCUUUAUAAAUUACCCAGUCUCAGGUAUGUUUAUUGGCAGCAUGAAAAUGGACUAAUACACCCUCUGGGAAGGAGACCAAAGACAGAGCGGAUAAGCCACUCACCUGAGGCCACACAGUAAGUGCUGAAGGAAUCUCACCAAUCUAGAGGAGACUGAGACCAUGCAUUCUCUACUUCUCUUAAGCUGAGCAUGGUGAUGGGUGCCUGUCGUCUCAGCUACUCAGGAGGCUGACGCAGAGGAAUUACUUGAACCCGGGAAGCAGAGGUUGUAGUGAGCCAAGAUCGCACCACGGCACUCCAGCCUGAUGACAGAGCGAGACUCCAUCAAAAAAAUAAAUAAAUAAAUAAAAAUAAAAAUAAA